AACGCCAGAUGGAGGAUGCUGCGUUCGCGGAUCUAUUGGGUUGCCAAGAAAGUUCAUAUCGUUUCUAGGUGUGUGCAUUAUUUAUUUUUAUUAAUUAAAACGGUUUGAAUUUUCUUGAUUACUCAAUAUUUAAAAAGUAUAAUCCCUGUAACAGAGUUGGUUGUGUCUGCAUAAAAUAAGUCAUUACUACUUAAGUCUGAACUAAAUGACUGCUGACUACUUAACCGCCAGUUACCGAGGAGAACAGUGUUACAACACAUAUUACGCGUAUCUUUGCGCCAGAGUCUCUGAUGCAUAGUUACAUUUGAUCGGCGGAUGUUACCAGUUUACGAUCCCUAACCGUAAUGUAUCUUGUUCGACUGCGCUCCGACAGUCAAAUAAGUAAAUACUUUGCCCUGUUUUUCUUUUGUUGUUUUUCUUCAAUUUUGUUAUUUAUUCGAAUAUAAAAUUAAAUUAAACUAAGACCGAGAA